UACGAAGGGGGGCUAGCGUUGCUCGGAAUUACUGGGCGUAAAGGGCGCGUAGGCGGAUGUCUAAGUUGGGGGGUGAAAUCCCGGGGCUCAACCUCGGAACCGCCUUCAAUACUGGAUAUCUUGAGUUCGGGAGAGGUGAGUGGAAUGCCGAGUGUAGAGGUGAAAUUCGUAGAUAUUCGGCGGAACACCAGUGGCGAAGGCGACUCACUGGCCCGAUACUGACGCUGAGGCGCGAAAGCGUGGGGAGCAAACAGG
rnacentral:rRNA from 1 species